rnacentral:lncRNA from 1 species
UAUUCUGCUGAACUCAGUCCCCAAGCAAUGUAUGCAUUACUCAAACUUCUUGACCUUCAAAAUCAUCAAGUGACUUGUGGCAAGUGUGCCAUGGUGCUGAGGUCUUUGUUCAUUUCGACUGGAAUAAAAUCGGACUUUGCCACAUCCUCCUAAGAUAAAAUAGAUGUGAGAGCAUUUACUUGAAGUGGUUCUGUGGAUGUUGGUACAUUGUGAUUUCAGUUACAGAAAAGCCACAGAUGGAACUGAUGUUAAAAGCACCUCAAGGACAACCAGGUACUGGAGCAGAUGCCAAAAGGAGUUCUUCUGCCCUGUCAUCAAGAUUCUGAAUCACUCAAUUUAUUGGACAAAAGCAUUUAGCUCUGAUUCCUCUUGUGUUCUCUCCAAAUCUCCAUCAGAGUAAGAAGAGACUUUGAGAGAAUUAGUCUCUCUUCUGAGUAUCUGUUAUAGAUGUGAAAGAUACUUCAGAAAAUACAUGGCUCUGGUUUCAUCAUUUUGGGAAAAGCAGCUUGAUAUGCUUUGACUUGUUAUUACUACAGUUCCGUCUGAGAUGGCAACUCACGUUACACUAACGUGGGCCAAAAAAAAAAGUGCUUGUGUUUUUGUCCUUUAUAGAGUUUUUUAAAAAUUAAAAAGCUAAAAAUUAGUUUGUCUUAAAUAUUAUAGCAUAGAUUUUAGAGGUCUCUUUGAGAUUUUAGAACCUGUUAGUUCAUCCUUUGAUUAGGAAUUUCUAGCCAGGACUCAGGAUAAAGGUCCAAUUUCUGGUCAGUAGGGGCGCUGGUUGUGAGGCUGUUGUCUCAGCUCCAGACACAUCUUCAUACUCUGCUUUGUCAUGAGACUCUGCAAACCACAUCUUUCCUUUGCUGGAGAGCUUUUUGUUAGGGUAUACCAGGAUUGGACACGAGAGACUGGAACCUGGAGGCGGGAAGAAGGGAGCUCCCCCCUUCUAUUUGCUUUCUGUUUCUAACAACGAUGGCACAGCCGUGGUUUUCCAGAAGCUGAGCAGUGGCUGUUCACUCCUGAAGGAAUAGUGGGUUCCAGGGUGCGGUUUUCCACACUUGUAGAACCAGCUUCAUCUCUCCACUCAAAGAUCACCGCACCGUCAGCCGGUGGCGCCUCUUCAGAGGUUUGAAUCCGAGCUCUGUGGAGUCCCCACAUUUCUGAGGUACCAGUUACCAGGAGAGUGGUGUCCACGCCUGAGAGGUUUCACUCCCAGCUCCUGGAAAAGCUUCCACAUUUUAAUGAUCCCAGCCUUGCCUCUGGUUCCCAGCCCUAAGCGUGGCGGCUUCCUAUUGCAGUUAUCUCUGUGAUACCUGAGAGUCCCCUUUUUGCCUCCUACCUCUUCACUAUCUGUUGACAGUUGUUUGUUCAAUCAUCUCUCUUAGAAUAAUUGCUAUGGUCUUGGUCCGAGAUAUAAUAGGCAACCAGGUUUUCAGCUCCUGGAAAAGAGCCAUGAGACCCAGGUCCUCUUCUACGCAAUCCCAAGCUCAGGUGGAUUUUUCACUAGCUUUCCUCAAUACAACAUAGGGAUCCCUCCCUAGAUGAUGUGAUUCACCCCCGUGGGGAUAGCUGCGAGAUUAGGGGAAACUGAUGUUUUACCUACACCCUGGUCAUGAAGACCUUGCUUUGCUCCCUCCUUCAUUCCUACCCUGCUGUUCCUCAGUCUCCUCAAGACCUAUGUCCAAUCAGUCUGUUUUCUCCUACUUAAUAGCACCUUCUCAGCUUCCCUUUUCUUUUUAGUCAGUCUGGAUCCCAUUACCAUCAUUUCAGUCACCUUCCAGUCCCUUUUACUCUCACAUGUUUUUGUUGUCCUGCCACACCUGCUGACAACCCCAAGCCAGAGUCAUUCCAACCUCUCUCCUCCCAUGCUCUGACAUGAUAGUAGCUGCCCUGGAGGAAAUUCACAAUCUAAGCAUCCAAUGUCAGCUGGAUCCUCCCUGCCAUAGCUCUCCUGAUGCCUCUGCUCUAUCCUGAUCCUACCCUGCUGCCUCCUUUUUAUCUCACUUGGAGGGUGGCCUAACCUACCCUUCUCAUACAGCUUGAAUAUGGAGGCAAUCUUAAGGCCUCUUUCUACCUCCAAAUCUACCAGCAUCUUGUCUUACUUGAUUUGGAGAAAAAGCUGUUCCUCUUUCUGUCAUAGGCUAAAUCUUCCACUAUCCUGCUUUCUUAUCUAUUAUGUUAUCUAAUUUACUUUCUAUUGGCCCCCUCUACUUCCAGUGUAAUUAAGUCUUAUAAGGGCAGGGAAUUUGCAUCUGUUUUGUUUGUGCAGAUGUGAGGUGUGAGGAAAGGAAAGCUGAUGAAAAAGAAAGCUUGGAUGAUUCCCAGAUUUUUGGCCUGAACACUGGAAGGCCUGGAGUUGCCUGUAACUGAGCUGGGGAGGGCCAUUCAUUGGUGAGGUUUGGAGGGGACAGUCAAGAGUUUAGUUCAGGACAUGUUAGCACAUUAGACAUCCACGUGGGGAUAUUGGGUAGGCAGUGGAAUGUACAACUUUUAGAGAGGAGGUCUAGGAUAUAGGGAUAAAUAUCAGUCUCAUCAGCAUAAAGAUGGCAUUUAAAGCCAUGAGAGUAGAUGGGAACUUUAAGGAAUAAUUGUCAAUAAUAAAGGGAAGGAGUCUAAGGACUGAGCCCGGGGACACCAAUGCCAAGAAGCCAGGGAAGAAAAACUACCAAGGAGAUUGAAAAGGAGAGCCCUGGACUACGAUACCAGGUGGAAAACCAGGACAAUGUGGCAUCCUGACAUCCCAGUGAAGAAAGUGUUUCAAUGAAGUGUCCCACUUCUUCACACUCCAAAGUGUGGCUGGCAAGUGAUAUUAGAUGAGAACAGAGAAUUAACCAUUGGAUUUGGCAUUGCAGGGAGUCAUCGUUGACCUUGGCAAGAGUGGGUUUAGUAGAGUGGGGAGGGGUGAAAGCAUAAUUGGAGUGGGUUUGAGAGAAAAUGGAUAAAUGAAGGAGAAAACAAUUAGCUCGUGGGGAUAAAAAUUUAUGAAGAUAGAAAUGGGUUUCUGAUUUAAAAAAUCAAUCUUGGUGCCAUUAUAAUCCUAUGGGCUCUUGAAAUUACUCUCCACACUGUGUUAUUCUUCUGAAUGCAGUGCAGGUUCUUCAGCUUUGCUGGAGUACGUAUCGACUUUGCUGGGAGCAUGACUUUGUGCAAGGCAUAAAGGUUAUACCUCUGCAGCUCUUCUACUUUGUCUCUGCCAUCUCUGACCACUCAACUCAGGUGUACACUUAAAGCGUUCUGGGAAUAUGAAUCCCUUCUGCACCCUGGAAUCACCAGUCCAGCCAUGCAUGGAGCUGGGGAAAGCAGGCCCUGAAUUGUCUAGAGAGACUUGGUGGAGGAGGCCACGGCCCGCCUUGUCCCUGCCGGGUCCCGGCCAGGUGUGUGUGUGCCCCAGCUCGACUCUCGGUGGUCUCCAGGCUGCAGCAGAAGGAAUACCUUGGGCCCUGUGCUAAUCACGAGUCUUUCCUGUUCGGAGCAGUGAGGCCUGAGACCCUCAACAGUGCUGUGUGUACAGAAGGCCCCCAGAAUCCACACAAAGGGGCCGCCUGAAACCUAGAGCAUUUGUGAAGGAGGAAAAUGGAAGGUAACUUACUCAGUGCGGUGGUUCUUCAGCGUGGCUGCAUCCGGGGAGCACCUGGGAACUCCCAGAAAUACUCAUGCCUGGGCCCAAUUGAUUUGGGGUGUGUUUGAGCGCUGAGAACUGUCAAAGCUCCCCACCAGGUGAUUCUCAGAUGCAGCCAAAGCCAGAACCUCUGGGCUUUCCUCAGGGGACUUUUCCCACACGACAGCUGCCCGGGUUGUCCUCCGUGAGACCCCAGGGCUAACAGAUGUCACUAGGAAAUUUUUAUUCUGUCCUGGAAGAACAUUCAAAAUGUGAGUUUUCCCUAUAGUGAAACUGCGGUGGUAUUUUGAAUUGUGUUUUAAAAGUUUAAAAAAAAUCAAUGAUGACUUUGCUUUAUUCUAAAUAACAUGCAUUGUUUUGUGAUUAUAAAAGUGUGUUCAUUUAAAAUAGGAAAGUCUAUAGAAGAAAAUAAAAGGCUUUUUUUUUUUUUUUUAAGUAUUUUAGGGAGGUAUCACCAUUUAGGUUGGGUAGAAGUAAUUCUUAAAUCUUAAGAAGCAAUCAUAGAUAUGUGGAAGCCAAUAGUCAUUACUAGGGAUCAUGAUUCGGAAAAACAGCCUCUCUUCAAUGAUCCUGAAUGAGCCCUUUGAAUUCCUCUCCUGCAACUGAUCUCCCCAUGGGGAGUGGUGAGGGAUGGGUGACAGGAAGGGACCCUAACCCAAAGUAGUUCAGAGCGGGUGAGUUUUAGGAGCAUUUCGGUACCAAACACAGCUUCACGAUUGAGAAUCAUCAGUCAUCCCCAGCUUUCUAUUUCAUUUGCUAACCUCUCUAGGAACAACUGGAUGUUGUAAAUGUUUCUCAUCUGGCCUUAAAAUCCAUGAAAGCUGGAAAAUCACAAGGCAUCUGUGCAUAUACUGGUGGAUUUUAAUGAGAGUCCUGUGUUUGGAGCACCAGAAAUAAACCAGCUUCAGAAGCAAAGUAAGAAAAGGCCCUUGAUUAUGACACUGGCCAUGGGUAUUACUAUAUGUAGGUGGUAUGUGGAUGAUUCUGGGACACCUGUCCUGCAAACUUUGUCUCCACCCUAAGCUGACUUUUGACAUUGUGCCUGACUGAAAAACUUCUAAUGGGAGAGGUGGUUGGGCCUUGCAGGGGUCCUAUGUUUUUCUUAGGGGGACAGUCUCUCCCUAACUCCACGUGGUCCUGGUGGUGCUCUCCACCAUGGCGCCAUCCUCACUCCCGUGGGGGCCAGGGGACAAGGAACCCAACGGGGCCGGGCCAAUGAGAGUCCCCCGAUCAAAAUCCCUGGUUCAAAGGUGGCCACGUGCCUGAGCAGCUUUGAAACCACAAGGAUGUCAUUUCCUCCUGAGAACUAGGUUAACAGGAGGAGGAAGCAGAGCUAGAGAUGGAAGGAGACCCAGCCAGCCCGGGCUCCAGUGACAUCGGCUGGUACACGCUUUUGUUUGCUUACGCUUGUUGAACUGAGUUUUUCAUAUGUAACUAACGAAUACUGGCACAUGUAAGCCCGAGAAUUUGCAUUUCUGACAAGAUCCCAGGUGAGGCUCACUCGUGCUGCUGGCUUUGGGAUCACACUUAACUACCGGUAUAGUGGGGAAAGACAGGGUUUGGGGUCACAGAGGGCAGAGCUGGAAUUCCAGCUCCCUCCAGCUGUCAGACUUUGGGCCAGGCACUUAGUUCCUCUGAGCCUCAUCUAUGAAACGAAAACAUCUGGGUAUUUCCCCCGCAAGGGGAUGAUGAGGAUUGUAUGAGCUCAUGUGUGUUAGAAGCUGCUCGCAGCCUUUGAGUACACAGCAAGCACUCAGUAAGUGUUAGGACCCUUUCUUGCCAAAAAUGAAGGCUCCAGAAAACCUGGUGUAAAAAAAUUACCACAGAUAAACCUGCAGGAACAAAAAUGCCGACCAGGUGCCUGUAAUCCUAGCACUUUGGGAAGCUGAGGUGGGUGGAUCACCUGAGGUCAGGAGUUCGAGACCAGCCUGGCCAACGUGGUGAAACCCUGUCUCUACUAGAGAUUAGCCAGGUGUAGUGAUGCACACUAGUAAUCCCGGCUACUAGGAAGGCUGAGGCAGGAGAAUCACUUGAACCAUGGAGGUUGCAGUGAGCUGAUAUCGCACCACUGCAGUCUGGGCAACAGAGUGAGACUCCGUCUCAAAAAAAGGCCAAGUAUGAGAGCCUGAAAGGCAGACAAUACAGCCAAUUCUGGAAUUGUGCUUUUCUCAUGAUUCAACUCACAGCCAGUUGUCAGGUUUUCCCAGACAUCCCCCUGAUGCUCCACCAAACCAGGAACCAGACAAACCGAGGAAGGGGCCUCCUUAACUCCUCUAACCAACAGAUGAGAUGUUGACAGAACCUAACAUCUACUUAGAGAUGAUGUCUCAGGGGCAACAGAAGAGGCAGGUGCUGUAGGGCCAGGCGGGUUACCUGUGUCUGCCAGACCCUCCAGUAGUUCAGAAUAGCCUCACUGGCGCCGAGAUGAUAAUGCUGUAUGCAAACAUGUCAAGCUAUCAAAGGGAGCUGCCUUUCGGUUUCAUUAAUUUUGUUGUGUGCAGCUUCCACUGAAGGCUUCAGGGCACCUGAUCUCUUUUGUGUGUUGAGAAAGAGCAAGUGCUUGGCCAGGACACAGCCCUUUUUCUUGCACCCUGAGACAUCCUAAGACACUGGCUGUUUCACCUGCCCCAGUGUAUUUGCUGUCUUCAUCAGCUCUCUUUCUCCCCCUGACAUUCUUGCCUGGCAUUUUGAGUCAGCCUGAGUAUAAUCCAAACCGAAAUGAAAUGCUGUCUGGAAAUCUUACCAAAGAAGCACAGUCCCACUUCGUGCUUCCAUCUCCCCACAUCCCAAGGACCACCGCCUACUUUAAGAGAACACAGACAAUUCACCUCUAUAAAGGCACAGCCAGGAAAAGGAGUAGGCAGAGGUGACAGCAGAUCAUGGGGCUUCUCUUGAAAGGAAGACACCUCCCAGUGAUGAACCCUCAUCAUCCAUUUACUGACAUAUCCUUAUGUCACCAGGAUCUGAACGUCUAUGACACUCUUUCGAGCUGACACAGUGAAGAACAUAGAAGGAGAACUCACCCAGUCUGCCAGGGUCACAGAAUGAUCAUACUCAAGAUCUUCCUGGGGAGUCAAUGGCAAAUUUCACUGGGCUAUUUUACAGAUGAAGAAGGAACAUAAAGAAGGUUCUGGGACCCCGAAGUCCACGGAACACCCACCAUUACCUGAUCUUUGGAGCUUGUCAUUUGGCCAGUGGACCCUAAUAAACGUCCACGGGGAUGUGGGGAUAGAAUGCCAGAGCCUGGCUCGCUAGGGCAUCCAGGUUCUUCCUUCCUCUUUGCCCUGCUGUCUCCAGGCACCAAGAAUCUCCUACAGUUCCCCAAAGAUGAACCCCCCAUUAUCUCAGGUCACUCUGUUUCCCCCGAUCUUUACCAAAUUCCUGACUCAGAGUUCCUCCCAUUUGCUUCUGACUCUCAUUUUAUUCUUACCUCUCAUUUUAUUCUUAUGAUGUUUACCAUUUCUCUUCUCCUCAGUGUCCCUCUCUGAGUGGUAAGAGUAUGUUAAUAAGCCAGUGCUGAGACCGGAGCACGAGGCAACUGCUCAAUGUUGGUCAUUGUCACUGUUAUUAAAUGUAACUUAAGGGAA